rnacentral:lncRNA from 1 species
AUUACUCUGAUAUAGGCUUCUGGCACACUCUUCGCCUCCAAGCACCUCCAUAGCACCUCCGUAGCUGAGUCAAUAGAACAUAUAUUCUUGUUGCUGCUGUUAUUUAAAUUAGGUACAGAAAUUGAAAGACAUUCUAUUUCAUAUUCUAUUUAUUUGCACCUUAGGGAACUGAUAAUAGUUUUGGAUUGAAGCGGAAAACAUAGUUUAGGUGCCAAUUUCCGAACCCCCUAGUUGAUAUAUUAUUUUAUCUUUGAUACCCACUUGGAACAUAAUGAUGACAUCAAAUUUAAUUGCUUCGCUGUCUUUUUCGUUUUCGAGGGUCGAUUGGAAACAGCCUCUCUGCCCUUUCGGGUAGGGGUAAGGCUCGUCUACAUAUUACCCUCCCCAGACCCCACCUGGUGGGAUUAUACUGNNNNNNGCCCUUUCGGGUAGGGGUAAGGCUCGUCUACAUAUUACCCUUCCCAGACCCCACCUGGUGGGAUUAUACUGGGUAGUUGUUGUUGUUGUUGUUGUCUUUUUUCGUUUUCUUUCCCAUUCUCAGUUUGCAACAUUUGUUCAUUUGUUCCCAUUCUCCGCUCCUCCUCGCUUGAGCUCCCUGCAAACCUAGCGAACGCCGCCUUCUUCACCUCCACUUUUCCCUUGACUACCUCGUUCCACCACCAANNNN